rnacentral:lncRNA from 1 species
UAAUGUGGUAUUCUAGAUGGAAUCCUGGAAUAGAAAAAGGACAUCAGGUAAAAAACUAAGGAAAUUUGAGUAAAGUAUGGACUUUAAUAAUAAUGUACCACUAUUUGUUCACUAAGUGUAACAAACGUACCAUACUAAUGUGAGAUGAUAACCAGAGGGCAGACUAGAUGGGAACUCUGCACUGUCUAUGCAAUUUUUCUGUAAAUCUAACAUGGCCUAAAAAUAAAGUUUAUUUUUAAAAGUUUAUUAAGAAGAAAAACAGAAAAAAAGGGAGUAGCAGAAGCGAUGUCCUAGUGCGGUAGACAAUUAAUUGACAAAUUACAGAGAUAAUAAUUGUUCUGAAACUCAGUGCAGGGAGAGAGAUCAUGUGAGGCUAGACUUGCCAAGGACUACUUCAUGGAAGCAGUGGUGCUUAAAAUGUCUUUUAAAGACUGAUGUUUACAAGUAUAAAUUGGACCAACUUUAGCUUAUGAGUAAUGAUUAUAUCUUAAUUAACUAAUUGAUGGAUUGUUAAGUCCAAGUAAAUAUGUAAAGUAAGUGAACUUAAACAUUAUUCAUACUAGUUAGUAAGAUAUAAGUACUGAUUUGACUAUGUAAAUCUUAAGGUCAGCCUUAGAAUGCAAAGCGAACUUCUUUGUCUGUGUUCUUUCUUGAAAAUUUUUUGAAUUAAAAAAUUUUAAAACAAGUAAGAAUAUGUGAAAAACCCUUGGCCAGCCUCUAUCUAGACCAUUCCAUAAGCAGAAGCAGCAGAGCAGUACCUACUUUUUCAAAUAGCAAUUAGUAGUGAAAGUAAUGCAGGAUAAUCAAGAGACAAAAUAUAAAACCCCUUGAGGGUUUGCGUAUCUCUCCAUCUGCAGUGCCAGCAAAAUACUCAACUCUCCUGGUUCAACCCUGAUCCUUUUGACCCUUUUUUCUCAGUCUCCUUUACCGCAUGUUCCUCCAUCUGCUCGUAAGGAAUAAAAACAGACAUCGAAGGAAUAUAGAGAACGAAAGAGCUUCAUAGAAAGGAAACUGAGGCAGUGUUGGGGCAAGAAUCCUCUUUGUGGUGAUUUCUUAGCACAGGUAAGGUCUGGUGGUUUAAUGCAGAUAUUCCCUCCGAUUCUCCUUAAUCUAACUUAAUUUUCAUCUGAAAGAGUCCAGUGAGUUCUCUCUACGAGAAAAGGGCUCUUUCUGCCCAUUCUUCUGUGGUGCCGGGACUUGUGCUGUGAUGCAGUGUGGCUGAGACUUCCCUUCCUUGCCCUGGGAAAGAAAGGAUGUUCUGUUUUGUAAAGUACUGAGAGACCUGGAUGGUCCAACCAUGCUCUAUUAAUAUAAAAUGAGAUUAUUCACCAGCUGUUGUUGCAUUGCUUUCAGCAGAGCCAUUGAAACGUUUGCAAAAUAGCAAAGGGUUCCAGAUGGGAGGGGCCGCUGUUCAAAAUCCAGACCA